rnacentral:rRNA from 1 species
UCGAGGGGUAACGGAAGUAGCUUGCUACUAGACGACGAACGGCGCACGGGUGAGUAACGCGUAUGUAAUCUGCCUUGUACAGAGGGAUAGCCCAGAGAAAUUUGGAUUAAUACCUCAUAGUAUUACCGAAUCGCAUGAUUCGGUAAUUAAAGCUCCGGCGGUACAAGAUGAACAUGCGUGACAUUAGCUAGUUGGUAAGGUAAUGGCUUACCAAGGCCACGAUGUCUAGGGGUUCUGAGAGGAUGAUCCCCCACACUGGUACUGAGACACGGACCAGACUCCUACGGGAGGCAGCAGUGAGGAAUAUUGGUCAAUGGACGCAAGUCUGAACCAGCCAUCCCGCGUGAAGGAUGACUGCCCUAUGGGUUGUAAACUUCUUUUAUAUGC